rnacentral:rRNA from 1 species
GAUGAACGCUGGCGGCGUGCCUAAUACAUGCAAGUCGAGCGAACGGACGAGAAGCCUGCUUUUCUGAUGUUAGCGGCGGACGGGUGAGUAACACGUGGAUAACCUACCUAUAAGACUGGGAUAACUUCGGGAAACCGGAGCUAAUACCGGAUAAUAUUUUGAACCGCAUGGUUCAAAAGUGAAAGACGGUCUUGCUGUCACUUAUAGAUGGAUCCGCGCUGCAUUAGCUAGUUGGUAAGGUAACGGCUUACCAAGGCAACGAUGCAUAGCCGACCUGAGAGGGUGAUCGGCCACACUGGAACUGAGACACGGUCCAGACUCCUACGGGAGGCAGCAGUAGGGAAUCUUCCGCGAUGGGCGAAGGCCUGACGGAGCAACGCCGCGUGAGUGAUGAAGGUCUUCGGAUCGUAAAACUCUGUUAUUAGGGAAGAACAUAUGUGUAAGUAACUGUGCACAUCUUGACGGUACCUAAUCAGAAAGCCACGGCUAACUACGUG